rfam:Natronomonas pharaonis DSM 2160 complete genome
ACAUCAUCGUCUACAGCGCUAGACACGGUGC